CUCUCUCUCUCUCUGGGUGUGUAUGUAUUAUAGUAGUAUUAUCUAUGCAUGGACCAGUCUUGGUGUAAUUAAUUAUUUAUUGAUUAAUUUCAUAAAGCUAAGAGCAGAUUAGUUGAGGGAUGUGGUCCUCCUAUCUGACCCUAUUCGGCUAUUCCUAUUCCAACUCCAAUGUGCUGCGUUGUGCCGUGCUACCCUAUCUCAUCUCCUUGGUAGAGUUUUGGAUGGAUCCUGGAGCAGAACCAGAAAAUUAAGUUAGGUGGAUGCUCAUUAAUCACUCGAUCGAUCAGUUACUUAGCUUUGAGAGCACGAAGGAAGAAGAAGAAGAAGAAGAAGAAGAAGAAGAAGAAGAAGAAGGAGAAGAAGAUCGAAGUCAGCGUCUGUCGUCAAUGCAUCCAUAGCUGUACGUAUGUUUGGGUGUGUGUAUGUAGGACUAACCAAUUAAUUAGGGCAGAAAAUACCAGCUAUACAUAUAAUAUAUACAUAUGUGUGUCGUUAAUUAAAGGUGGUCUCAAACACACACACACACACACACAGAUGAGAGAGAGAGAGAGAGAGAAAAGGCAGCAGUGUUUGCAGGCGCGCGAGGGAUUCGUUCCAUCUCGUCUCGUGUGGUAAUUAAGCAGGCAGGCGUGUACGCAUACCCAAUUCCUCCCUCUUUCCUAUUGCUAAGGCCAAUACACACCAUACAUACAUACAUACAUAUAUAUAUAUAUAUACCUCCUACCUAGUCCUAUAGUCCUAGCCCUAGAGAAACAUAGAGAUAUAUCAUGAAUUGAUGAUGAUUACUUGUCUACUGUACUAUGUAGCACGUUGUCGAUCUCUUCUAUGUUGGUUUGAGAGGUUGAAGCUGCCAGCAUGAUCUGGUUCAAUACCAAACCCAUGCUUUGAAUUCUACUUCAGAUCAUACAUAUAUAUAUAUAUAUAUGUCUUAAUUAAUGACCCUCCUCCUCUCUCAUCAGCUUCUUUAGUUUUCUUUCUUAAUUAUUUUUGCUUCUGAUGAGAUUAAUAUCAUCUUUUUCAAAUUUUGUAUUUGGAUUUGGAUUUGGGUAGAUCAGGUCAUCCUAGCAGCUUCAAUCACUGAUCACCAACAAUGAAUAAUGAUGGUAAUAGUUAAUAAAUACUAGUAUUGUAAUUUCUGCACUGUAUAGCUAGCUAUGGAUGGAUCCAUCAUCUCCUCCUGAGUUAGAUAGAUAGAUAGAUUCUCUCCGGCCGCCGGCGGAUUAGACAACACAGACCACCGUAUGAAUCAUCAGUGCAGUCCCCAGGUAAGUUGUUGGUUCAUCUUUCAUUAUUAUUUAAUUCAUUCAUCCACUUUUGGUUUUGUGAUUAUACAAGCUAGCCAGCAAGGAAGCAAGGUGUUGGGAGAUUAAUUCAUAAUUAUUCAAUAGUGAUUAUGGUGUAGCAUAGACAUGAUUGUUUGGACAGGAAGAAACAGCAAAAAGAAAGAGAUAACAUAAUAAUAAUAAUAACAACAAUAAUAAUAACAACCUUCACAAGUCUAACCCCUGCGCCACCGCCAAGCUCCUUUACCCUUACGGGCAGGGACUUGGAGUUACAUUGUUAUUAGACUAGUCUAGUAUGGUUUGUGCAUACUGUGUGUGUAGGUUAGUUGUGGUGCAUUCUGUUGGUUCAUUAUUAGUUAAAAAACAUAUGUAUAUUGUGUUGCAUUGUGUAGGGUUGGUUUUUGCUCACUUGAGCCAACCCAACUUAACUAAACUAAAUUCAACUCCACUAUGGGCCUACGGCUGGCUACGUCUAAAUUAACUGAAGGCGACUACUAAUAAAUAAUUAAUACUAGUACUAAAUUAAAUAAAUACAGCUGUGCCUCUGUUUCUUUAAUAAGUAAUAGGAAUUAAUCCAAUCAAAUAAUUCAUUUAGGUAUGUAUUGUUGUUUUCUUUGGUGUAAGAUGGAAUAGACUAAUAUAAAAAAUGAUAUUUUGUAUAAAAUUAUUAACUAACUUGUUUUUCUUUUGGUUGAUUGUAUAAUUUGAUAAUAUUUAUGGGAAUCGAAUUUAGCGUUUUGGUUGAGCAAAACAAACCCAAAUUAGGGGAUGACAGAUUAGACUAGUCAACACUUGCAUACAUUAUAAUCAACUUUAAUUGGCAAUCACCUUUUUUCCAAGACAGAUUUGGACUAAUUAUCUACCCAUCAUAUAUAUAUAUAUAUAUAUUUACGUGUCGCUGCCUUACUAAUUAAUAUGAUUUGCUCUGCCGUCUGUCUGUCUGUGUGUCUGUCUUUCUUGUUAAUUUCGCCAUAACCCAACUCAUAAUAAUUAAUCAAUAACACAGUUAGCCCAUCAACCCUUUGCUUUAGCAGCCUCCAUAAAGACUACACAUCAAUCAGUCUUAAUCCAUAUAUAUAGAUAUGUAUAUGCUGUCAAGUCAUGUUCCAUGUCAAAUUAUUUCACUUAAUUAAUUACCUUCCUUUUUUGUAAGCUAAGGCUUCUUUAAUUUCUCUUGAAAUAUAAUACUCCUACUACUACUACUGAUAAACGAUGAUCCUUCCUUGCUUAAUUACUUCAAUGCAGAAACUGAAAAUAAUCUUAAUAAUUAAUAUUGAUAGUGAGGUCUUUAAUUUUAAUUUUUUUGGGCCGUCUAAUAAAAAAAAGGUAAGUGAACUUGGGCCAUUGACAAAGUCGGACUCGAUUCAGUGUGAAAUGGAAUUAAAUGACUCUUGUGGACUAUAUAUUAAUUACCCUACACAACACAAGGAUAUCCGUGGCCUAGUCCUCAAGGUGAUGCUUAAACAUUUUAUUUACAAGAGUUUGAUAUUUAUAUCUCAAUAUUUAAUUAUUUGAAAGUAAUUAAUUAUAUAUACUUAUUGUUAUAUUUAAGGAUUGUAAUGUGAUUAGCUUUCAUUUUAUUGAAAAUAUUCCGUAGGAAAUUAUUUGCAUUUGUGCUGAUGUCUACAAAAUUAUUUUAACUAAUUAAAUUUAGCAUGUGAUCCAUCACCUAUAGUAUUAUGUUUAAUUUAUAUAAGUAAUAAGAUAUAUUUAUAUCACUAACUCAACUAUUAAAGGAAUAUAAGUAUGUUAUUUUUAGUUGAGUAGGGAGAAAAUUGGUUUAAUAUUUAAUAAAAUAUUUUAGAAAAUAUAUAUACAUAUAUAUAUUGAAAAAUAUACAAUUUAAAUAGUAAUUGAUAAAAGAAACACACCAAAGUGUUUUUGUUGGCAUUUUUGCAUUAUACAUGUUAAAGUAAAAGGAUAAAAAUAAAUUUUAUUUUUUCUAAAACUUCAUAUUAAGUAAUUAUUUUUUAAAAUUACAUCAAAUUAUGUUGGUAUGUUGUCUGUCCUAUCUUUUCUGACCCGAACCGACCCAAACCCUACCCGUUUUAAUCUAACCGAUAAAAUCAGAUUUUCUAAACAAAUCUGACCCAAGUCAGUUGAACCCAUUCCUCCCACUUCUCUGAAUCGGUUCCAAAGUCGUCGGAUGAUUUCUUCUUUUCUUUGGCCUAAAUUCAAACUUGGUUGUUCUUACAUCUUCGCCUCUGCAUCGGGUAAGUUUGGCUUCCCCUAGAUUGGAGUAAUUUAUCCAACUUUUUCACACCUAUAAAUAUAGGGUUGCUCGGUGUGUUACGAGAUGUGAUAACUAGAGAGAAACUUGUGAUUGGGUAUUUGGAUGAUACGGUUGCUGGGUUCUUGCCACAAUCCCUUCUUCUAGUUUUUUCCCUAUGUAUCGUUCUGCCUCGAUGGAUGAUCGACUUUGCGUACCAACAAUCGAUCUUGUGUGAAGUCGGCAACAUUGAAUGACUUGGGGUGGUAAAGGGAGUGACUGUGAAUCUGAACCAACCUGAUCGAUUAUCAAUUUAUCUUUCUUUAUAUUCUGAUUUUGCUUAAUAUAUAUCGUUAUCCACUAAUCAAGUUUUCUGUGUGAGUUUUAUAGUUUUUACAAGAUUCCCGAAGUUCAAUUCGUACAAAAGAAACUGAACAUUGGUAUCAGAGCACAUCUUGAGAUUGGACACGGGUUCAACACUGUAAAAAUCAGAUUUGGAAUAAUGGCGAUGAUGAUGACAUGUUCCUACUCCCAAUUGCGCCCCAAUGUAACCAUGAUGGUCGACCAAAAACCAGGUGGAGAUUGUUGAUUUUCUUAACAAAUCUGACCCAAAUCAGUCGAACCCAUUCCUUCCACUUCUCUGAAUCGGUUCCGAAGUCGUCGGAUGAUUUCUUCUCUUCUUUGGCCUAAAUUCAAACUUGGUUGUUCCUACAUCUUCGCCUCUACAUCAGGUAAGUUUGGCUUCCCUUAGAUUUGAGUAAUUUAUCCAAUAUCUUCACACCUAUAAAUAUAGGGUUGCUCGGUGUGUUACGAGAUGUGAUAACUAGAGAGAAACUUGUGAUCGGGUAUUUGGAUGAUACGGUUGUUGGGUUCUUGCCACAAUCCCUUUUUCUGGUUCUGUCCUUGUGUAUUGUUCUGCCUCGACGGAUGAUCAACUUUGCGUACUAAGAAUCGAUCCUGUGUGAAGUCGGCAACAUUGGAUGACUUGGGGUGAUGAGGGGAGUGGCUGUCUCAGCCUACCAGAUCGACUAUCUACUUAUCUUUCUUUAUAUUCUUUGCUUAAUAUAUAUCGUCAUCCGCUAAUCAAAUUUUCUAUGUGAGUUUUAUAGUGUUUAAAGGAUUCCGAAAUUCAAUUCGUACAUGAGAAACUCAACAAAUUAAAAUAUACUUUCACUUAAAGCUCACUUCAAAUACCUAAUCUAUUAAAAAAAUCAUAUUAAAAAAUAUAUAAUUAUUUUUACUUUUUUAACUAUCCAACACCAUAUCCUUGAGAAAGGAACAAGGAGCGGACCCUUGGUUUCCAUAAGUAAAAAAUGCGUGAAUUCUAUGAGUGUUUAUUAUAAGUAUUAUUUUAGCUAACUUUAUAUAUAUAUAUAUAUAUAUGUGAGUGUGUGGUACUGUAAAUUUAAUGCAGCAGUAUAUAUUUUAAUUAAAUUUUGGUGGUUUAGAUUAGAUGGGUUUGAGGUGAGGCCGUGCUUUAUUAAAUCUUGAAUUCCUUCCUUGGUUGGUGUCUUUUGGAAUCAGAUACCAAUUACCAUAUCUGCUA